AUCGAUGAAGAACGCAGCGAAAUGCGAUAAGUAAUGUGAAUUGCAGAAUUCAGUGAAUCAUCGAAUCUUUGAACGCACAUUGCGCCCUCUGGUAUUCCGGGGGGCAUGCCUGUUCGAGCGUCAUUACACCACUCAAGCUCAGCUUGGUAUUGGAGGCCACCCCCCCGGGGGGUGCCCCCGAAAAACAGCGGCGAAGCGGCCGGAUUCUCUAGCGCAGUGACUUACAUCUCGCUACACGAAGUCGGACGUUUCCGCCGGACAACCACCAAUUUUUUUAAAGGUUGACCUCGGAUCAGGUAGGGAUACCCGCUGAACUUAAGCAUAUCAAUAAGCGGAGGAAAAGAAACCAACAGGGAUUGCCUCAGUAACGGCGAGUGAAGCGGCAACAGCUCAAAUUUGAAAUCUGGCCUCACGGUCCGAGUUGUAAUUUGUAGAGGAUGUUUCGGGUGCGUCUCCGGUCUAAGUUCCUUGGAACAGGGCGUCAUAGAGGGUGAGAAUCCCGUACGUGACCGGUUGACAAGCCCAUGUGAAACUCCUUCGACGAGUCGAGUUGUUUGGGAAUGCAGCUCAAAAUGGGUGGUAAAUUUCAUCUAAAGCUAAAUAUUGGCCAGAGACCGAUAGCGCACAAGUAGAGUGAUCGAAAGAUGAAAAGCACUUUGGAAAGAGAGUUAAAAAGUACGUGAAAUUGUUGAAAGGGAAGCGCUUGCAACCAGACUCGCCCGGGGGUGAUCAACCGUCCUUUUGGGCGGUGCACUCUCCCCCGGUCGGGCCAGCAUCGAUUCGGGCGGUAGGACAAAGGUUCCGGGAACGUGGCUCACCUCGGUGAGUGUUAUAGCCCGGAGCGUAAUGCUACCAGCCUGGAUCGAGGACCGCGCUUCGGCUAGGAUGCUGGCGUAAUGGUUGCUAGCGACCCGUCUUGAAACACGG
rnacentral:rRNA from 1 species